AGUGUUUCCCCACAUCUCAACACAAUAUGUCAUGUAUGGAGUUAUCAAGGAGUGAUAUAAAGUGAGUAACCCUUUUUGUGAAGGUAUGUCUUUAGUUUUAUACAAAAUGGGGAUGGAUUUUGACAUUUUCGAUUUGAUAUAAUUUAUAUGUGU